AGUGGGAUAGCUGGGUCAAAUGGUGGUUCAUUCCAUUCCCAGUUUUCUGAGGAAUCGCCAUACUGCUUUCCAUAGUGGUUGUACUAAUUUGCAGUCCCAGCAGCAAC
rnacentral:pre_miRNA from 1 species